rnacentral:lncRNA from 1 species
UGAUGCAAGAAGUGAAUCCCCCCAACCAGCACCAGACUGGGGCUCCCAGAGGCCAUUUCAUAGGUUUGAUGAUGUAUGGCCUAUGGACCCCCAUCCUAGAACCAGAGAGGACAAUGGUAAGUCUGGAGGAAGGGGAAGUUUACCAGCCUUUUGUUAUUCUUCUGAAGUUCUGUGUGUUCUCCCUCCCUGAAGUUUCUUCCUGUACACUUGUCUCCUUUUUUCCUUUGGACUCUUUCUCUCCUGCUUCUUCAUCUCUCUGCUCUUCCAGAUCUUGAUUCCCAGGUUUCCCAGGAGGGUCUUGGCCCGGUUCUACAGCCCCAGCCCAAAUCCUAUUUCAAGAGCAUCUCUGUGACCAAGAUCACUAAACCAGAUGGGAUAGUGGAGGAGCGCCGGACUGUGGUGGACAGUGAGGGCCGGACAGAGACUACAGUAACCCGACACGAAGCAGAUAGCAGUCCUAGGGGUGAUCCAGAAUCACCAAGACCUCCAGCCCUGGAUGAUGCCUUUUCCAUCCUGGACUUAUUCCUGGGACGUUGGUUCCGGUCCCGGUAGCCUUGUUAACCCUCAGAGGCCUUCAAGUCCUUUCCACCUCUCACCCAUUGCCCACCAUUAAUAAGCUUAGCUUCUCUUGCCACCUCAGGGGCUUGGAUAUGUGGAAUAGUGAACUGGGGCCAUGUCAGUUUGUCACUCACCCAAACUGACCAAUAAAACCUUUAUUUAUGCUAA